AUUGAACGCUGGCGGCAGGCCUAACACAUGCAAGUCGAACGAGUGGCGGACGGGUGAGUAAUGUCUGGGAAACUGCCUGAUGGAGGGGGAUCACUACUGGAAACGGUAGCUAAUACCGCAUACUAUCAGAUGAGCCUAGGUGGGAUUAGCGAGUUGGGGGGGUAAAGGCCUACCAAGGCGACGAUCCGGACCUGGUCUGAGAGGCUGAUCAGGCACACUGGAACUGAGACACGGUCCAGACUCCUACGGGAGGCAGCAGUGGGGAAUCUUGGACAAUGGGCGAAAGCCUGAUCCAGCCAUGCCGCGUGUGUGAAGAAGGUCGUCGGAUUGUAAAGCACUUUAAGUUGGGAGGCGUUACCAACAGAAUAAGCACCGGCUAACUCCGUGCCAGCAGCCGCGGUAAUAC
rnacentral:rRNA from 1 species